UUCACUUGGCUGUUGGAGGUCGGCUCCCGGGCGUCUGCAGCCUCCUGUGGCACUGAGGCUGCGGCCCGGCGCCACGUGCCCGGGCGGGGAAGGGCUGUCCCAGGCUUCGCGGGGUUCGCGCUCUGCGAGCUGGGAGAGACGCCGCAGGAGCUUCUCCCACCGUCACGUGGAGAUCCUCCACCAGGAUCUCCCAGCAGCACCGAUCUAACGUCCUUGGGGCUAACGGGGUUGUGUAAGUCAUCAACAAAGGUCUAUCCUCCAAGUAAAGCCCCGUGGCUCCUCUAUUAGCAGCUCCGCGUUGAACCAAAAUCGAUGCGCUGCACGCACCCUUUUCACCCGUGCACCGCGGUAGAGAGUGGUGGGAAUCCUCCAAAACCAAGGUUGGAGAAGAUUGAAGAAACAAUGGAGUUUUAAGUCUUGGUUACUAUAAAAACAAAGAUGGAGAUAACCUGGCCACAAGAUAAAAUAAAAUACAUCUUAUAAAAAAAAAAAAGAAGAAGAAGAAGAAGAAGAAGAACACAGCCUGAGGAUCUGUUUGUCAAUCGACUAGAGUCUUUUUUCUAACCUCCAUCUGCAGCUACCCCUGAUUAGAACCUAUUAAGCCACUGAGGCCUAACCCCCCCCACAACUGGUGAAACAGCCCGGAUCAUCUAAAGACGAGUGGAAUGUCUGUUACUUAGGAAAGCCCUUUACCUGGAUGUGCCAAAUUGCUGAAACAAGACAUUGUAAUAAAAUAAAAGGGGAGGGGGUGGCUUUACCAACAGGCCCUUCUGCAACAGGACCCCUCCCAAAAAAAGCGACAGAAGUAGACUCAGUGUCAGCUCCCCGCUGGCUCCCUGGGAAGCCUACAAUCCUAUCCCAAACCUCAU